GUGCUCACUUUGGCAACACAUAAACUAAAAUUGGAAUAAUAGAGAGAAAUUAGCAUGACCCCUGCGCAAAGAUGACACGUAGAUUCGUGAAGUGUCCCAUAUUUUU
rnacentral:snRNA from 1 species